CGGGGCCAGUGUGUCUGCAGUGUGGCUGUGGCACCGCCGAUAUAACGCAGAAAAAAAGCGUCGCAGUGAGCGCUGGGAGCUGACGCUGAACACACAACAAAAGAAGGCAAUGAACAGGAUACGUAUCCAUGUUUUGCCAUCAAGUCGGAACCGGGUGACCCAGACACCCCGAGCUCAAGAGCCACAGGCCUGCUCCUUCACACUGCGACCAUGUUCCCAGCCUCGUCUGGAGGGGCUUGAAUUUUGUAUCAAACAUAUUCUGGAGGACAAGAAUGCCCCAUACAAACAAUGCAGCUAUGUAUCUGCCAAAAAUGGCAAGCGUUGCCCCAAUGCGGCACCAAAAGUGGAAAGAAAAGAUGGGGUAACAUUCUGUACAGAGCAUGCUCGCAGAAACGCAAUGGCGGUCCGAGCUCAGAUGAGAAAGGCGACUUCUGCUCCAUCUCCAGAAGCACUGUUAUCUCAGCUUAGUGGUUACAGCCGGGCAGAGACGCAGAGCCACGAUGAGAGCUGCUCAGAUGCAAGUCGUGUUUUUGUCUCUAAUUCCUUCCUCUGGGCAGAUGAGGACAGUCUGAGUGAAGAUGACCAGGGACCACUGGUACUUGACCAGACUUGGAGAGGAGACCCUGACAGUGAUGCUGACAGUGUUGACAGUGAUCACGAGGAUCCUCUGAAACAUGCAGGAGUGUACACUGCAGAGGAGGUAGCUCUGAUCACAAGAGAAAAACUGAUCCGACUCCAGUCUCUUUACAUUGAUCAGUUCAAACGCCUGCAGCACCUGCUGAAGGAGAAGAAGCGCAGAUACCUACACAACCGCAAAGUGGAGCACGAAACACUGGGAAGCAGUCUGUUGACAGGCCCUGAAGGUCUGUCAAUGAAGGAAAGGGAGAAUCUAAAGAAGCUGAAAGCUUUGCGUCGAUAUCGUCGACGGUAUGGCGUGGAGGCUCUGCUGCACCGACAGCUGAGGGAGAGGAGGCAGGCUCUGUCAGAAGGAGCACAACAGCCUUUUUCAAGAACAGUACAUGAGAAAUGCAUCUCCUUUGUCGAUGGCACACCAUGUACCAAUCCCUGUCUGCCCAUGACCAGACACUGUGUGUUCCAUAUCCAUCAGGAUGGCAACCAAGUGCUUUUCAAAACCUGUCCAGGCAUUAAAGACAUCCCAUGUGACCGUACUGUCCACAUGGGUCUGGCAGAAGAUCCUCGCUGCCCUCUCCACCUCAACCUGCCCCCUCCCAUGUACCAGCCUGAACAGGAAGCUCCACCACAGGAUCAGCUCACGUUGGCGAGCAAAGACAUGUAUCUGAGUGCAGCAGAGCUUCAGCCCACAGAGAGUCUUCCCUUAGAGUUCAGUGAUAAACUUAUCUACUUAAUUGUGAUGAACCCCGAGUUGCAUUGCAAUCUUUUUUACUAAAGAUUCUUCUCAGACCUGGAUGUGGAAGGGGACGGUAUGCAGGGCCCUCCAUCACCUCUACAGUUUGACACAGCCCUGGCCUUGGAGGACCAGACCAUCAGAGCCAUUGCUGAGGCUCCAAUGGACAUCCUGACUGGAGAAGAUCCAGACCAAGUUGACCUGGAGGCCUCAGGACAGGAGCUGUCGGAGAAAGACGUGGAUGCUAUUAUGGGUGGUGUCAGAGGUCGUAGGAGGUGAAGAAGACGCAACAGAUAAUUCACUCCAAGAAUUUGACACUGCAACUGCCGAAGCGCCGAGAUGAAAGAGCUCACCCACGAAAACAGACUUAAUGAUACAGUCUGUGAUAACAGCCAUUAAAUUGUGUGUGGGAAUCAGACAGAAAAUGAGUGACCCCUGUAGUUAUUUAAAUACUGACACAGAGGAAAGAAAAACAGGCCAUUUUAGAAGGAGAUAUGGAAUCGGUAUAAUAAGUACUGAUGACAAACCUUGUAAUUAUACAAGAAAGACAACCACGUCAUUGGAUCUUUUGUACUGUAACACUUUGUAAAAAAAAAAAAAACAAACUUGCAGGGUUACUUUAAUAAGGUCAAUUAAACAAUUCAAAUAUUUGGUACUGUUGACAUUUUAAGUCCAUAUCCUCCUUCUUCAGACACAUAAUAAAGCUAAUAUAAUGUGUAACAGUUAAAUCCAGUUGGUGUUCAUUUUCUGUGUAAGACAGAAUUUAAUAAAGAAACUAACCAGGUCUCGUUCAUGACACAUGAGAAGCUAUGUAAAAAAUAAACCGUUGAAUAUUUUGCACUGA